AAUGUGAGUGUGAACGCAGGUGAAAUCUCCAGUGAAUAUGAGUCUCUGCGAGUGUGGGCCGGUCACAGCAGGUCACUGCAGGUCACAUGCAUGUGGAUGCAUGAGAAUGUGAGUGUGAACGCAGGUGAAAUCUCCAGUGAAUAUGAGUCUCUGCGAGUGUGGGCCGGUCACAGCAGGUCACUGCAGGUCACAUGCAUGUGGAUGCAUGAGAAUGUGAGUGUGAACGCAGGUGAAAUCUCCAGUGAAUAUGAGUCUCUGCGAGUGUGGGCCGGUCACAGCAGGUCACUGCAGGUCACAUGCAUGUGGAUGCAUGAGAAUGUGAGUGUGAACGCAGAUGAAAUCUCCAGUGAAUGUGAGUCUCUGCGAGUGUG